rnacentral:rRNA from 1 species
CGGCGGACGGGUGAGUAACACGUGGGUAACCUACCUAUAAGACUGGUAUAACUUCGGGAAACCGGAGCUAAUACCGGAUAAUAUUUCGAACCGCAUGGUUCGAUAGUGAAAGAUGGUUUUGCUAUCACUUAUAGAUGGACCUGCGCCGUAUUAGCUAGUUGGUAAGGUAAUGGCUUACCAAGGCGACGAUACGUAGCCGACCUGAGAGGGUGAUCGGCCACACUGGAACUGAGACACGGUCCAGACUCCUACGGGAGGCAGCAGUC